rnacentral:lncRNA from 1 species
GAGGUGCGCGGUCGUCAUGCAUGGUCUGGUCUCUCAAUUGUCACAGCUUCAGCUUCGUUUCAUGCUUGCAUCGCCCUACCAAUGCAUGCAGGAAGGAGGAGCUGCUGCGGCUACCUGUGGAGGUGAUGCAGGACGACGACCUCGCCGCGGCCGCCGCGGAGGCCGCCGACGGACGGCCGGUCUACUGCAGGGACCGCUACUACCGGGCGCUCGCCGGCGGCCAGUACUGCAAGUGGGACGACCUGCUCAACUGAAAAAUACAUAGUACGCCUAGUGUUGCAAUACAUGGGCAGUUCGCCAUGUUGGUACGACGCGGCAAGACAAGAUGUAUU